GGGGAAAACAUAGGGGCCAAUAGAUUUUGAGCCCCCGAAUCCUCCCUCCUCCCCCGGGGGAAAAACCGGGCCCACAAGGGGGGAAGAAUAUUGGGGCCAAAGCAUCCCAACUCCUUUUGGAAGUUUUCGGUUAAAUCCAUGCGCUUAAAAAAGGGCUGCCGGAAAACCGGAAAACUAGAAAGGGAGAGGUAGAGAGUACUUCGUGGGAAGGGGUAAAAAAUCUUUAUAACUUGAUGACGACGUGUGGCGAAGGCAGACUACCACCUAAAGUUCGACUGUGAUGGAGGAAACCUGGGUGAGCAAACACUAUAAUAUACGCGCGAAUACACUAGGGCGAACACUAUAAAAAAUCAAACAUACGUUGUUUUGGGGUCAUGCAGGGGUAAGGAAAAAACAAACCUUUUACCUUGGAGGUCCACAUUCGCGGUUUGAGGUAAAACGUGGGGGCAUUGGCGAGCCAAAUAUAU
rnacentral:rRNA from 1 species